GCUGGAGCUCGGCAAGAGAGACGCAGCGCUGGCUGAGUACGCAUCUUCUUGCUUGCAAGCACCCCUACACAGGAGAGAGAAUAAUCACCCCUGGGGUCUGUCCCUUCUGGGACGUGCGCUCCAUGAUUGAUAGAGAUAAGGAAUGGGGGGGCAGAAAGUCCCAACCGGCACCCCAGAUCUCCACAGGAAGCCGCAGAACGCGACAGCUACUUGUGAUGGCUUGUAUAUGCUCGGCCCAGGGAGUGGCACU
rnacentral:lncRNA from 1 species